rnacentral:rRNA from 1 species
UACAUGGGGUGCAAACGUUGCUCGGAAUUAUUGGGCGUAAAGCGCGCGUAGGCGGUUGCCUAAGUCGGACGUGAAAGCCCUCGGCUUAACUGAGGAAGUGCACCCGAAACUGAGUAGCUAGAGUACUAAAGAGGGUCGCGGAAUUCCCGGUGUAGAGGUGAAAUUCGUAGAUAUCGGGAGGAACACCGGUGGCGAAGGCGGCGACCUGGGUAGAUACUGACGCUGAGGCGCGAAAGCGUGGGGAGCAAACAGG